UCCUACGGGACGUAGCAGUGGGGAAUAUUGCACAAUGGGGGAAACCCUGAUGCAGCGACGCCGCGUGAGCGAUGAAGUAUUUUGGUAUGUAAAGCUCUAUCAGCAGGGAAGAAAAUGACGGUACCUGACCAAGAAGCCCCGGCUAACUACGUGCCAGCAGCCGCGGUAAUACGUAGGGGGCAAGCGUUAUCCGGAUUUACUGGGUGUAAAGGGAGCGUAGACGGUCCUGCAAGCCAGAUGUGAAAGCCCGGGGCUCAACCCCGGGACUGCAUUUGGAAACUGUGCUGCUGGAGUGUCGGAGAGGG
rnacentral:rRNA from 1 species